CCUAACACAUGCAAGUCGAACGAGACCUUCAGGUCUAGUGGCGCACGGGUGCGUAACGCGUGGGAACCUGCCUUUAGGUUCGGAAUAACUCACAUAAAUUUGAGCUAAUACCGGAUAAUGUCUUCGGACCAAAGAUUUAUCGCCUUUAUAUGGGCCCGCGUUGGAUUAGCUAGUUGGUGGGGUAAAGGCCUACCAAGGCGACGAUCCAUAGCUGGUCUGACAGGAUGAUCAGCCACACUGGGACUGAGACACGGCCCAGACUCCUACCGGAGGCAGCACUGAGGAAUAUUGGACAAUGGGCGAAAGCCUGAUCCAGCAAUGCCUCGUGAGUGAUGAAGGCCUUAGGGUUGUAAAGCUCUUUUACCAGGGAUGAUAAUGACAGUACCUGAAGAAUAAUCUCCGGCUAACUCCGUGCCAGCAGCCGCGGGAAUACGGAGGGAGCUAGCGUUGUUCAUAAUUACUGUGCGUAAAGCGCACGUAGGCGGCUUUUUAAGAUCAGGGGUGAAAUCCCGGGUCUCAACCCCGGAACUGCCCUUGAAACUGGGAAGCUAGAAUCUUGGAGAGGCGAGUGGAAUUCCGAGUGUAGAGGUGAAAUUCGUAGAUAUUCGGAAGAACACCAGUGGCGAAGGCGACUCGCUGGACAAGUAUUGACGCUGAGGUGCGAAAGCGUGGGGAGCAAACAGGAUUAGAUACCGUGGUAGUCCACGCCGUAAACGAUGAUAACUAGCUGUCAUGGUUCAUGUAACUUAGGUGGUGCAGCUAACGCAUUAAGUUAUCCGCCUGGGGAGUACGGUGGCAAGAUUAAAACUCAAAGGAAUUGACGGGGGUCUGCACAAGCGGUGGAGCAUGUGGUUUAAUUCGAAGCAUCGCGCAGAACCUUACCAGCCUUUGACAUCCUAGGACGACUUCUGGAGACAGAUUUCUUCCGUUAGGGGACAUAGUGACAGGUGAUGCAUGGCUGUCGUCAGCUUGUGUUGUGAGAUGUAGGGUUAAGUCCCGCAACGAGCGCAACCCUAGUCCUUAUUUGCCAUCAUUAAGUUGGGCACUUUAAGGAAACUGCCGGUGAUAAGCCGGAGGAAGGUGGGGAUGAGGUCAAGUCCUCAUGUCCCUUUCAGGCUGGGCUACUCGCGUGCUACAAUGGCAUAUACAGUGGGCAGCUAUUCAGCAAGGGUGCGAUAAUAUCCAAAAGAUGUUUUAGUUUGGAUUGUCCUCUGCAACUCGAGGGCAUGAAGUCGGAAUCGCUGGUAAUCGCGGAUCAGCACGUCGCGGUGAAUGCGUUCCCAGGCUUUGUACACCCCGCCCGUCACACCAUGCGAGUCGGAUUCACCGGAAGGCAGUGCGCUAACCGCAAGGAGGCAUCUGACCACGGUGGGUUCAGCGACUGGGGCG
rnacentral:rRNA from 1 species